CUACGGGGUUCUGCAGUGGGGAAUAUUGGACAAUGGGCGAAAGCCUGAUCCAGCCAUGCCGCGUGUGUGAAGAAGGCCUUCGGGUUGUAAAGCACUUUCAGUGGGGAAGAAAGCCUUGGGGCUAAUACCCUCGAGGAAGGACAUCACCCACAGAAGAAGCACCGGCUAACUCCGUGCCAGCAGCCGCGGUAAUACGGAGGGUGCGAGCGUUAAUCGGAAUUACUGGGCGUAAAGCGCGCGUAGGCGGUCUGAUAAGCCGGUUGUGAAAGCCCCGGGCUCAACCUGGGAACGGCAUCCGGAACUGUCAGGCUAGAGUGCAGGAGAGGAAGGUAGAAUUCCCGGUGUAGCGGUGAAAUGCGUAGAGAUCGGGAGGAAUACCAGUGGCGAAGGCGGCCUUCUGGACUGACACUGACGCUGAGGUGCGAAAGCGUGGGUAGCAAACAGGAUUAGAUACCCUUGUAGUC
rnacentral:rRNA from 1 species